rnacentral:rRNA from 1 species
AGUGAACGCUGGCGGUAGGCCUAACACAUGCAAGUCGAACGGCAGCACAGGAGAGCUUGCUCUCUGGGUGGCGAGUGGCGGACGGGUGAGGAAUACAUCGGAAUCUACCCUGUCGUGAGGGAUAACGUAGGGAAACUUACGCUAAUACCGCAUACGACCUACGGGUGAAAGCAGGGGACCUUCGGGCCUUGCGCGAUUGAACGAGCCGAUGUCGGAUUAGCUAGUUGGCGGGGUAAAGGCCCACCAAGGCGACGAUCCGUAGCUGGUCUGAGAGGAUGAUCAGCCACACUGGAACGGAGACACGGUCCAGACGCCUACGGGAGGCAGCAGUGGGGAAUAUUGGACAAUGGGCGCAAGCCUGAUCCAGCCAUACCGCGUGGGUGAAGAAGGCCUUCGGGUUGUAAAGCCCUUUUGUUGGGAAAGAAAUCCAGCUGGCUAAUACCCGGUUGGGAUGACGGUACCCAAAGAAUAAGCACCGGCUAACUUCGUGCCAGCCGCCGCCGCGG